UACGAAGGGUGCAAGCGUUACUCGGAAUUACUGGGCGUAAAGCGUGCGUAGGUGGUUUGUUAAGUCUGAUGUGAAAGCCCUGGGCUCAACCUGGGAAUUGCAUUGGAUACUGGCAGGCUAGAGUGCGGUAGAGGAUGGCGGAAUUCCCGGUGUAGCAGUGAAAUGCGUAGAUAUCGGGAGGAACACCAGUGGCGAAGGCGGCGAUCUGGGAAGAUACUGACGCUGAGGUGCGAAAGCGUGGGGAGCAAACAGG
rnacentral:rRNA from 1 species